GUCAUACUCCCUCCGUUCGGAAUUACUUGUCCCAGAAAUGGAUGUAUCUAGACGUAUUUUAGUUCUAGAUACAUCCAUUUCUGAGACAAGUAAUUCCGAACGGAGGGAGUAUAUG
rnacentral:pre_miRNA from 1 species